rnacentral:tRNA from 1 species
AUUAGCUCAAUUGGUGAGAGCAUGGUGUUAAUAACACCAAACAUGUGGGUUCAAUCUCCAUAU